UACGUAGGGCGCAAGCGUUGUCCGGAAUUAUUGGGCGUAAAGAGCUCGUAGGCGGCCAGUUGCGUCUGCUGUGAAAUCCCGGGGCUUAACCCCGGGCGUGCAGUGGAUACGGGCAGGCUGGAGGCAGGCAGGGGAGAAUGGAAUUCCCGGUGUAGCGGUGAAAUGCGCAGAUAUCGGGAGGAACACCGGUGGCGAAGGCGGUUCUCUGGGCCUGUUCUGACGCUGAGGAGCGAAAGCGUGGGGAGCGAA
rnacentral:rRNA from 1 species